GACGUAGGGGGCGAGCGUUGUCCGGAUUCACUGGGCGUAAAGCGCGAGUAGGUGGCCUGUUAAGUGGCGUGUGAAAGCUCACCGCUCAACGGUGAGAGGUCGCGCCAGACUGGCGGGCUUGAGGGUGGCAGAGGAUGAUGGAAUUCCCGGUGUAGCGGUGAAAUGCGUAGAUAUCGGGAGGAACGCCAGUGGCGAAGGCGGUCAUCUGGGCCAUCCCUGACACUGAGUCGCGAAAGCUGGGGGAGCGAACGGG
rnacentral:rRNA from 1 species